UCAGCCGCCAAACCUUCCCCUCUAUUCUCCUCUCCACUCCUCUCCAUCAACCGACAUCGGUGACGUCAGCGGCAUCCUCUUCUGUCUCAUCUCGCUGCGCCGGCUUCCCCCUCGCCGCUCGCCGUGUGGGUAUCCGUCUCCGCCGCUGCCGAGCUCGGGAAUGGCAGAUCUGCUGCCGCCAGCGGUCUCGGACCCAGCGCGGGUAGAUCGGGCGGCGGCAGCCCGGGGCUGCUCCAUGGCGACGAUGGCUUGCAGCUUGGCGACUCCUCCGCUUUUCAAUCCCGUUGUUGCCUGUUCAUGAUUUUGGUUUUUGAAGAGGAGCAGCGCAGAGAAGUGCCGAAGGCACCAGCAGCAGUCACCGACGGUAGCCUGCAUGCAAUAUUGCAGUGAUUCGUAGCAAGGUUUUCAACAUUAUUGUGGACAUGUCUCAAGGUAGCAACUCUAACAAUUAAAAAGGUUUCCAACAUUGUUGUGGACAUCUAGAGAAAAAACAUCCUGAGUGAAGAAAGUGACGGCGAUAUUUUGGCACUGUAACUCUGGGAGAAUUACUAAUAGAUGAUGCAUUUAUAUCCACUUGUUGCAAGAAGACGAGGAUGUUAAACAAGGCAUAGUUGACAAUUGGUUUCUGAAAAUAUACCUAGUAAAAACAUGAAAAGAAAUGCAAGAUGCCUUCAGGAAGAACAAGAGUGUCAAAGAGAGUGAAUCUAUGACUGUUAACAUGUUGGAUUUGGAUGUUACUCGGAAAUGUUGGAUGCUUGACAAUAUAAAUUUGAUUUGGCUAUUAUUGUGGUGUUC